CAGUAGCCGCGGGAAUACGAAGGGUGCAAGCGUUACUCGGAAUUACUGGGCGUAAAGCGUGCGUAGGUGGUGGUUUAAGUCCGUUGUGAAAGCCCUGGGCUCAACCUGGGAAUUGCAGUGGAUACUGGUCACUAGAGUGUGGUAGAGGAUAGUGGAAUUUCCGGUGUAGCAGUGAAAUGCGUAGAGAUCGGAAGGAACAUCUGUGGCGAAGGCGACUAUCUGGGCCAACACUGACACUGAGGCACGAAAGCGUGGGGAGCAAACAGGAUUAGAUACCCCGGUAGUCCCUGUCUCUUAUACA
rnacentral:rRNA from 1 species